CAGAAUUAGCCAAAUUUUAAUUUCCAAAUUCAACCUCUCUACGUACCCCUAAUGCGUGCAUACUUUAUGUCAUUCUAGUAUCUCCCUUCUGAACAGUUUCCAGUGCUUUUCAGAAUCCUUUUUGAAAUGCAGAUGCCAGGCCAACAUGUCCAGCAGGUUGCCAUUCUGCAACAGAAAAUAGAUGUUUUCUUCUCGCUUUGGAGACAAGCCAGAGCCUUUUAACAACACAUUAUGCUGGUGACUGGAUAGUUCCGGGGGCUAAUGAGGAGACAGAAAAUCACAGUGAACCCAGUGACCAUUUCAAAUCCAAGUGUUGCAUCAGAGCAGUUUUCCAAAGCUGGUGAUGCUCCUUUGCGGAUCAGUGAUUUGCUUCAGGAUGCCCCUCACUCUCCUGCACUAACUGCAGCUCCUGCUGAAUUGGGAAAGAAAAGAACAUAUUGAAAAAGAGAGAGAAAGACAAAGAGGAAAGUGUGCUUCUGGAUUUUGCAAAUAUCUCUAAGCGUCACUACAAGAUUUUACCUGCACACUCACCAAUUUCAUGUUAGGCAUGGUAAGUGACUUAUCUUUGCCUUAUAGUAAUGGAAAACGUUCUUAAAGAAACAAAGGUUCCUCUCUGGCAGAUACUCAUCCAGUUCCUUAGCUAGUGCACAUUCCUGCAGCCAUCAUCAGGCUGUAGUAGUAUGCUGUCCUACAGUUAGGUUAUUAUUUGCUCAAAACGGGUUUCAGUUGAAGGUAUUAUAAGAAAGUGUAAGUCUAUUUGUGCCCUGGAAAACAGUGGUUCAUUUUCUUCCGUUACCUCUGAUCAGUAUUUUGUCCCUAGAAGUAAUUACAGGCUUGUGAUAAAACCAAAGCUCAAAAUGAAUGUACUGUAUUCAGAAAUAUGUCUCACAAUCGAUCACUAAGUGUUGGGGAACACUCCCAGCUAACACAGCAUUACUGUUACCUGAUUAUACGUAGCUGUAUUAAUCAGAUGGAGGAUAUAUUUUC
rnacentral:lncRNA from 1 species